rnacentral:rRNA from 1 species
AGAGACACGGCCCAGACUCCUACGGGAGGCAGCAGUAGGGAAUCUUCCGCAAUGGACGAAAGUCUGACGGAGCAACGCCGCGUGAGUGAUGAAGGUUUUCGGAUCGUAAAGCUCUGUUGUUAGGGAAGAACAAGUACCGUUCGAAUAGGGCGGUACCUUGACGGUACCUAACCAGAAAGCCACGGCUAACUACGUGCCAGCAGCCGCGGUAAUACGUAGGUGGCAAGCGUUGUCCGGAAUUAUUGGGCGUAAAGGGCUGCAGGCGGUUUCUUAAGUCUGAUGUGAAAGCCCCCGGCUCAACCGGGGAGGGUCAUUGGAAACUGGGGAACUUGAGUGCAGAAAGGAGAGUGGAAUUCCACGUGUAGCGGUGAAUGCGUAGAGAUGUGGAGGAACACCAGUGGCGAAGGCGACUCUCUGGUCUGUAACUGACGCUGAGGAGCGAAAGCGUGGGGAGCGAACAGGAUUAGAUACCCUGGUAGUCCACGCCGUAAACGAUGAGUGCUAAGUGUUAGGGGGUUUCCGCCCCUUAGUGCUGCAGCUAACGCAUUAAGCACUCCGCCUGGGGAGUACGGUCGCAAGACUGAAACUCAAAGGAAUUGACGGGGGCCCGCACAAGCGGUGAGCAUGUGGUUUAAUUCGAAGCAACGCAAGAACCUUACCAGGUCUUGACAUCCUCUGACAAUCCUAGAGAUAGGACGUCCCCUUCGGGGGCAGAGUGACAGGUGGUGCAUGGUGUCGUCAGCUCGUGUCGUGAGAUGUUGGGUUAAGUCCCGCAACGAGCGCAACCCUUGAUCUUAGUUGCCAGCAUUCAGUUGGGCACUCUAAGGUGACUGCCGGUGACAAACCGGAGGAAGGUGGGGAUGACGUCAAAUCAUCAUGCCCCUUAUGACCUGGCUACACACG